GACGGAAGGUGCAAGCGUUGCUCGGAAUCACUGGGCGUAAAGGGUGCGUAGGCGGCUUGGUGGGUCUGGUGUGAAAGCCCCGGGCUCAGCCCGGGAAGGGCACUAGAAACUGCCGAGCUGGAGUGCCGGAGGGGAGAGUGGAAUUCCGUGGUGUAGCGGUGAAAUGCGCAGAUAUCAGGAGGAACACCGGUGGCGAAGGCGCCACUCUGGGCCGAAACUGACGCUGAGGAGCGAAAGCGUGGGUAGCAAACAGG
rnacentral:rRNA from 1 species